UACGUAGGGGGCAAGCGUUGUCCGGAUUCAUUGGGCGUAAAGAGCGUGUAGGCGGCCAGGUAGGUCGGUUGUGAAAACUGGAGGCUCAACCUUCAGAGGUCGACCGAAACCAUCUGGCUAGAGUCCGGGAGAGGAGAGUGGAAUUCCUGGUGUAGCGGUGAAAUGCGCAGAUAUCAGGAGGAACACCGGUGGCGAAGGCGGGUCUCUGGGCCGAUACUGACGCUGAGGAGCGAAAGCAUGGGUAGCGAACAGG
rnacentral:rRNA from 1 species